GCCAGUGUGGUACAGUGGUUUGAGUGUUGGACUAGUGCUCUGGGAGGCCAGGGUUCAAUUCCCAGCUCAGCCA